rnacentral:rRNA from 1 species
GGGCCCGCACAAGCGGUGGAGCAUGUGGUUUAAUUCGAUGCAACGCGAAGAACCUUACCAGGGUUUGACAUCCUGCGAAUCUCUUGGAAACGAGAGAGUGCCUUCGGGAACGCAGUGACAGGUGGUGCAUGGCUGUCGUCAGCUCGUGUCGUGAGAUGUUGGGUUAAGUCCCGCAACGAGCGCAACCCACGUCUUUAGUUGCCAGCAUUUAGUUGGGCACUCUAGAGAGACUGCUGGUGAUAAACCGGAGGAAGGUGUGGAUGACGUCAAGUCAUCAUGCCCCUUACAUCCUGGGCUACACACGUACUACAAUGCUACGGACAAAGGGCUGCAAGUUCGCGAGGACAAG